rnacentral:rRNA from 1 species
GACGAACGCUGGCGGCGUGCCUAAUACAUGCAAGUCGAACGCAGUGGGGACGGGUGAGUAACACGUGGGUAACCUCCCAUCAGAGGGGAUAACACUUGGAUACAGGUUCUAAACCGCUAUUGAUUGAUGGACCCGCUGUGCAGUAGCUAGUUGUUGAGGUAACGGCUCACCAAGGCCACGAUGCAUAGCCGACCUGAGAGGGUGAUCAGGCACACGGGGACUGAGACACGGCCCAGACUACUACGGGAGGCAGCAGUAGGGAAUAUUGGGCAAUGGACGAAAGGCUGACCGAGCAACGCAGCGUGAGUGAAGAAGGUUUUAGGAUCGUAAAACUCUGUUGUUAGAGAAGCGGUAUCUAACCAGAAAGCAACGGCUAACUACGUGCCAGCAGCCGCGGUAAUUC